UCCACCGAUUUGUUCUCAUUGCACUGCUUAAAAUAUACUCUUUGGUUUUAUAGUUUGUUUGGUGAUUUCGUUUUACAGCGACGUGAAAGAACCCAAGUGAUCGACAUAGCUCAAGUCGUGAAAAACCGAUGAACGUUGUGCUCCCAAGGUGCCAGACCGGAAAGCGAAGUUUUUUUCAACCCUUCUCUAGGUAGUAUGACGCCACCAAGAGAGCCGCAGGCUGUCGCAGAUUGCAGAUUGCAGUUGACGUUUAUUAGCUGAUUGUGAUGAUAAUGAUGAUCAUUUAUUGCAAGGGAUUCUUCCGGGGCAGUAAAUAUCGCAGCUACAUUUGGUAUUCAAAAAGGACUUUGUAAAAAUGAUAAGGAGCUCGCCCAACGAGGUGCCAACGAGAUAUUAAGAUGCCAUUAACGAUGGCCCGCCGAUAAAACAACGACAGAAUUUCAAAUUCGCCAUUAGGUACAUUUCCACUGUAACUGCGGGGAGAGGAAUUGAAGAUUUUGUUGAAAAAGGCUUCACUAAUAUUAAAUGGAACUAACAGAUGACUUAGCUACUGUUAAAAUUAAGAACAUUGCUUAUUACACAGCGGUAUAGUUGUUAGUUUUUAUUUUAUUGUUAGGUAGAGAUGUCAAAGUUUUAUUAAGAUUAGGAUGUCGCAAUUCACACAGCUCUAUCACGAGCUAUCGUUUGCGCUCUCUAUGUUUAAGUGGAAUCACACCCUUAGAGUAAAAGUAACAUUUUUUUGUUACCCUCGAAUUUAUUCAAAUCAUUAAUUGCGUUUUUAUGAUCGCGACGAAAUCGGCUCUCGACUAUUUUUGUUUAUCGCCGCACAUUAUAAGCGGACCUAUAAAAUGGAAUUGAACAUAUUUUUUUUUAUUACUUGUAUGACAAAUUGUAUCCUGUAUUUUAUAGGUAAACGGAUACUACAUGAGUAAUAAAAUAUAGUUGAUUGCAUACUGUUUGACUAUUCUUACUAUUAUUAUAAUACUGAAACAAAAAUUAUAGUUUUCCUAACAUUUUA
rnacentral:lncRNA from 1 species